rnacentral:rRNA from 1 species
GAUGAACGCUGGCGGCGUGCCUAAUACAUGCAAGUCGAGCGAAUGGAUUAAGAGCUUGCUCUUAUGAAGUUAGCGGCGGACGGGUGAGUGACACGUGGGUAACCUGCCCAUAAGACUGGGAUAACUCCGGGAAACCGGGGCUAAUACCGGAUAACAUUUUGAACCGCAUGGUUCGAAAUUGAAAGGCGGCUGCGGCUGUCACUUAUGGAUGGACCCGCGUCGCAUUAGCUAGUUGGUGAGGUAACGGCGCACCAAGGCAACGAUGCGUAGCCGACCUGAGAGGGUGAUCGGCCACACUGGGACUGAGACACGGCCCAGACUCCUACGGGAGGCAGCAGUAGGGAGUCUUCCGCAAUGGACGAAAGUCUGACGGAGCAACGCCGCGUGAGUGAUGAAGGCUUUCGGGUCGUAAAACUCUGUUGUUAGGGAAGAACAAGUGCUAGUUGAAUAAGCUGGCACCUUGACGGUACCUAACCAGAAAGCCACGGCUAACUACGUGCCAGCCGCCGCAGUAA